rnacentral:rRNA from 1 species
CCUACGGGAGGCAGCAGUGAGGAAUAUUGGUCAAUGGGCGGAAGCCUGAACCAGCCAAGUAGCGUGCGGGAUGAAGGCCCUACGGGUCGUAAACCGCUUUUGCACGGGGAUAACACCCUCCACUUGUGGAGGUCUGCAGGUACCGUGCGAAUAAGGGCCGGCUAAUUCCGUGCCAGCAGCCGCGGUAAUACGGAAGGCCCGAGCGUUAUCCGGAUUCAUUGGGCUUAAAGGGAGCGUAGGCGGGCGUUCAAGUCAGCUGUAAAAUCGCGCGGCUCAACCGCGCCCCGCAGUUGAAACUGGACGCAUUGAGUUCACAACAGGCAGGCGGAAUUCGGGGUGUAGCGGUGAAAUGCAGAGAUAUCACGAGGAACCCCGAUUGCGAAGGCAGCCUGCCGGGGUGCGACUGACGCUGAGGCUCGAAGGUGCGGGUAUCAAACAGGAUUAGAUACCCGGGUAGUC